rnacentral:lncRNA from 1 species
CGUGAGUUCCCUAACUGGCUUACCUUUUUCUUCCUGACUCCUCCAAUAACCAUUCUCUCUCUAAAAAACGCGCAGAAGAAUAUUUCAAUGGCCAGAGAGUUGCAUAUCAGGCUUGUUCAUAGUUCUUGUUCUUUUCUUUUUUGCUUUUAUGAAAUUCUUCAUAUGUCAUAUUUAAUUUCAACUGAUGAUGAACAUCUGAAUUUUAAUUCUCUGUUACGUUUGUGUUUUGAUCUUCUUUAGAUCGGAUUUAAAGCCUCAUCUUUUAUCCGCACUUGAGAACGGUUCCUGAUCCUCUUUAUAUUAUUUGAUAUUUAGAAAUUCUUGUUUCUCCAAGUUAAUAUAUAAAACCCUUGUGUUUCUUGGUGGAUUAAUAUAACUGAUCAGCAACAAAAGAAGAUAAUAUCACUCGAUGCUGGAACCCGAUCGAAUAUUAAUUUAACUUAAGAACUUCUGCGUUUUAUUUAUUCUGUUAUUUUUAUGGUCAUUUGCUAUGAUUGAGAUAUAUAUAUAUGAAAGUAAAAUUUGGGUUUUUUUUUUCAAUUGUAAUAAAAAUUAUAUAUUAAAAAAAAAAACGUUUUUGUUCUCUUCUGUGGUAAGGAAAUGAGUUCUAAUUAAAUUUUUGUUUGGUAACAGUUAGUCAAGUCAUGGCUUACACUUAUUCAUUGAUAAUAGGCCACAUCAGCCUCUUGCUCGUGGCUUUCUUGCCAGUUGAUAAGAGUGACCGAGAGGCCAAAUAAAAUUGAUGAUAUUUGCAUAAAUCUAUAUAAUAACUUGAAAGUCAAGAUUGAUAAAAGGAAGAUUUCGGAUUAACAAUUUAACCCUAUUGACAGAUCGAUGUAGUAAGAGAUGGAACUGCCAUGAAACGGCUUGACCACAGUUGUUGUUUGCUGGUGUAGCACCAUCAAGAUUCACAUGAAAAAGCAAGGUGGUGAGUUCAUUGCUUUUUCGCUCUGCCAUAGCUUUUUGGUACUGAGAAUCUUGAUGAUGCUGCAUUGGCAAUAAACGACUAGCAAACCAAUAUGUAUGCUAUUCUUCAGUGAUGUCUGCCAGACGGGAUUUUGGUAUUUUUAUGGAUUAUAUACGAAUUCUUCCGUCCAGUACUAAUUACCAAAUAUGUUGUAAGUGCAUAUUUGAUAUGCCUUACUCAAUAUUAUUUUUCUAGUCUUGCUCUAUAUACCAAACACACCUUGGCUGUACUAUUUCACUUUUGUGUAUGGGUUUUGUGUCAGCUCUUUGUAGACAGACACAAGUGACUGCUGAUUGCUGAAGGACUUCACUCUGCAGAUCAAAUGCAUAGAUCUGUGAUUGUGCAGAAAAAGUCCUGAUGAAAUCUUUAUCAAUAUAAAGAUAAUCAGAAGUCAAAAAUUUUGGAGAAAUUCUUACAUAAACAGGUAAUUAUAUCUCAUUUUUGCUUAUUUUUCCACAUUCAUUAUUUGAUUCUUAUCAUAGUAUUGAUCAUGGCUUUUUUUCUCUUCUUUUUUUCUCCAGGAAGGUAACAGAUAUGUAAAUUCUCAUCAUCGUGGCAAAUGGACAUGUGACAUGGUAAUUGACAAGAAUUUGCAUUGCCAAGAAGAGGUGAGGACAGCUUUUUAGCUUUCUAUUAUUAGAUACACAACAUUAGAUCAAUCAACUAAAUAAAAACUUGUUAAAAUACGUGCUCUAAAUGCUGGUCGGGCAUAAGAAAGAUUUGUUUUUAUUUUACUUUGUCUUAUUUAACGGAGAUUCAAAGUAAAUUUGAUUGUUACAUGGACAGAAUUCAAAGUGGUGUGUUUUCUUGAGAAAAGUUAAUGGUUUCUUCGAAAAUUGCUACUUUUCUUGGAAAAAUUCAUGAUAGUAUUUAUGACAGACAUUGUUGGGGCUGGAUUGCUCUUAACAGUUAUCAUCAGUCCAGUUAAGUGGACCUAUUUAUUGCAACUUGGCAUGUACUCUUCCUCAGAGAAAUGUUCAGUC